rnacentral:rRNA from 1 species
AACGUAGGGGACGAGCGUUAUCCGGAUUUACUGGGCGUAAAGCGCAUGUAGGUGGCGCGGAAAGUUGGACGUGAAAGCUCCCGGCUUAACUGGGAGAGGUCGUACAAAACUACCGAGCUUGAGGUUGGAAGAGGAGAGCGGAAUUCCCGGUGUAGUGGUGGAAUGCGUAGAUAUCGGGAGGAACACCUGUGGCGAAAGGCG